rnacentral:piRNA from 1 species
UGGAUGGAUGGUACAGCCCAAC